GAUGAAGAACGCAGCGAAAUGCGAUAAGUAAUGUGAAUUGCAGAAUUCAGUGAAUCAUCGAGUCUUUGAACGCACAUUGCGCCCCCUGGUAUUCCGGGGGGCAUGCCUGUCCGAGCGUCAUUGCUGCCCUCAAGCACGGCUUGUGUGUUGGGCCCCGUCCUCCGAUUCCGGGGGACGGGCCCGAAAGGCAGCGGCAGCACCGCGUCCGGUCCUCGAGCGUAUGGGGCUUUGUCACCCGCUCUGUAGGCCCGGCCGGCGCUUGCCGAUCAACCCAAAUUUUUAUCCAGGUUGACCUCGGAUCAGGUAGGGAUACCCGCUGAACUUAAGCAUAUCAAUAAGCGGAGGA
rnacentral:misc_RNA from 1 species